UAGGAACAGGCUUAACAGCACAGACAAAGUGAAACACAAAGGAAAGUGUAGAAUCUACUGAGUAAUUGCCUGGGGAUAUUUCUUCUCUAACAGGCCAUUUCAACUCUUUUGCAGCACAGAUUCUUGAAAACUAACAGUAAAAGGCGCCCAUUUUGGUUGCUCGCAUGCUCCUGUUUCAAGCAUACAAGAAGUCGUUCCUCUCUUCCGUUAUCAUUUCGGUCUCUCUGCCAAAGGAUGUGAUGCUCAAAGCACCCAACAAUGAUUUCUGCAUAAGAGACGAAGAGGAGUUAGAAUCACACGCCUUACUUAGGAAAUUAUUUCUUAUCAACACAGUUGGCGAAUAUGGGACUAGCCAGAAUUGCGAAAUUCGUAAAUACAGCUUUCUGGAUCCACACAGUGUCACCAAGAGCCAAAAAUGGCCUAAGUGUGUCGACCUUGGUCGGCGACUGUUAAACAUAAUCUAACUUGUAAAUCGGUUUUACAAUAUUUCUCAAAGAAAUCCGGCACAAAAUUCAAGAAAUAAAUUUUAAAUCGGAAAUUAAAAUGCAAUGAAGAAAAAA